rnacentral:rRNA from 1 species
CCAGACUCCUACGGGAGGCAGCAGUGGGGAAUAUUGGGCAAUGGGCGCAAGCCUGACCCAGCAAUGCCGCGUGAAGGAAGAAGGCUUUCGGGCUGUAAACUUCUUUGACAGGGGAAGAGCAGAAGACGGUACCCUGAAAACAAGCCACGGCUAACUACGUGCCAGCAGCCGCGGUAAUACGGAGGAUGCGAGCGUUAUCCGGAUUUAUUGGGUUUAAAGGGUGCGUAGGCGGUUUUUUAAGUUAGUGGUUAAACGUCGGGGCUUCACCUUGAUUUGCCAUUAAUACUGUAAGACUCGAGUUCAGACGAGGUAGGCGGAAUAAGUUAAGUAGCGGUGAAAUGCUUAGAUAUAACUUAGAACUCCGAUAGCGAAGGCAGCUUACCAGACUGCGACUGACGCUGAAGCACGAGAGCGUGGGUAGCGAACAGGAUUAGAUACCCGGGUACG